UAAUUUUUCCCAAAUUAUGUCUAAAUUUUCACAAAAUAGGUACCUCUCAGAAAAACCUUGACAGACCCCUGCUAGGUGAAAAGGUUCAAUUGAAAUUUUGAUUGCUAAAUUUUUCUUUUAAACAAUUUUUGUCUUGGUUUUUACCUAGCUUUUUACUCUUCUUAAAAACUUUGUUUUUAUUAACUGUAUGACACAGUAAUUAAGAGUGUUUCUAUUGACUUUAUUCUUAUCUGGAAAAUAUGAUAAUUGAAAAGCUGAGAUGUAGAGCUUUAAAAUUUUAUUUUGAGAAUUAAAAUAGAUUUUUCUGUUUUUCAUUUGUAUAUAAUCUUUUGUUUUUGUUAGUGUUUUUAAGAUAACACAGCAUUUUAAUAACAUAUUUCUAAUAGAUUAUAUUUUAGUUAAUGUUUUGCUUUAUGGAUACUGCAUUGCAGAAAAUUUUUUUCUCAGCAUAGAAGUUUUGUUGUAACAAUUAUGAUAAUUUUUUUUCUCUUUCUAUUUUACUUUAUAACUUGAGUUUUUUUAUAGGUAUUUCUUGAUUAAUUUUUUUGUUUUCCCUUUAGCCCACUCCACUAAUAUAGAUAGGCAUGGAGUAAUUUCCAAUAAUAAACUAACUUAUUUAUUCGUAAAAAAUAUUGAUGAAUGAUUUUAAAAAAAAAAAAUAUUGCUAUAAAAAUAUAUUCUGCAUUUCAACAUUUUUUUUUAGCUAACAUUCUGUCAAACCAUUACUCCUAACCUCUCUUUUUCUGAAUAAUAAAUGUGCCCGCAUAAGCAAAACAAAAUAUGUUUGAAUAAUUUCAAUGUUUUUAAACGUAUUAACUGAAUGAAAUUUCUUUUUCAUAAUCUGUUGAUGUACUUCUGAAGAAGAUCUUCGGAAAGGAUCUAACUUUGGGAAUGAAGCUCCAUCAAGUCUCAUUUGAAGGCACCUGAAUUAAGAACAUUGCAGUGAAGAGGUGACAGCGGGGUGGAAGAAGUUAUUACAUGUUUCAGAUCUGUGGCGAUGUGUUAUAACUGUAAAUCUAUAUAUUGCAAAUAUAUUGUAUGAUAGUUGUAAAAUAAAUAAAACUUAAUAAAUCUUA